AAAUGGUGAACUUGACUAGGGAGCGAAGCACGAGUGCCGAAAGAGACUUGCCACGUAAUGAGGUCGAAAUCGAGGCUUCGUCGGAGAACUUUUGUCCGGCCAUCGGUUUCUCUAUCUAAUGCUGAACCCAGCCGCUUCUUCAAGAUUAUACUUUCCGGAACGAUUCAUACUCAAGACAUGGUUUCUAAGAUUCAUGUGAAGCAGCUUUUAAUUAUUAUAUCAAGUGAUUAAUGGUAGAGAAUGUCAACUAUUCAAGGGAUUCAACUCUUGUAAGUUGUAACCAAAAAGAAAAGCUUUUCUUUUUCUCUGGAUCCGAACUUCAUAGCGGGGAAGCUGAGAGAAUCCAUUCAUCAAGUACCAACCACAGACAUAUCAUUUGUAUUUCUUACCUCCAUUGAUAUAAUUAAUCUCAUAAUUCAGAAUAUCAAAGUAAUUAGAGGAAUGACCCUGCAGCGAAUUCCAAAGGAGUUUGUAAGAAGAUUUGAGAAUGAACUGUCGAGUGAGGCCACAAUUGGUGUUCCAGAUGGUCUUGCUUUGAAAAUGGAACUGGAGAAAUCGGAAAACGAGGUUUGCUUUUGCAAAGGUUGGCAGGAAUUUGUGAAAUACUACUCUAUAGUUUUGGCUUCUUUCUUGUGUUUAAAUAUGCAGGCAAUUCACAGUUCAGUGUGGUGAUCUUUGAUGUGAGUGGCGCUGAGAUUUACUAUCCAUGCAAAACUAACUUUGAGAAGCAGAACUCGGCAUCUGAACGCCGUAGAAAAAGGUCAUCCAGCUUUGAUCACAAUGGCUACAACACGAGGAGCAAGAAGCAUAAGCUGGAAGAUCAAGAAGAAAUAAUUGAUGUAGACGAUGACAAUGUAUUGAGCCACGGUAAAUCGGGAAACAAAGAUAGAUCUGGGCAAGAAAUAGAGUCCUCAAGAAAUCAUGAGAAAGAGAAAGAUAGAUCUAGGCAAAGACGUUGUUCCAAAAUGAAGAACACCUUGAGAAGAAAGCAAAGUGCUAUAGGAUCUGCCCUGAAUUUCAAACCAGAAAAUCCAUCUUUUACUGCAUUAAUACGGCGAAGAAAUCUGACUCC